rnacentral:lncRNA from 1 species
AAGGCUAUAGCCCACCCGUUUUUGUGGCUUUUUUCCGCCGGACGAACUUGGCGCCCCGGCCUUCGGGCGGUUAUUUUUGGGCGCGGCUUUGUCCGCAUCCUAUUUUUGGCACACAGAGGCCCCUCGCAAAGUCUCGCGGCAUUCCGAGUGCGGCGGACGAAGUUGGCCAGCCCCACCCGCCAAGGCUAUAGCCCACCCGUUUUUGUGGCCUUUUUCCGCUGGACGAACUUGGCGCCCCGGCCUUCGGGCGGUUAUUUUUGAGUGCCCCGCGGCCUAUUUUUGGCACAUGGAGGCCCAUCGCAAAGACUCGCGGCAUUCCGAGUCCGGCGGACGAAGUUGGCCAGCCCCACCCCCCAAGGCUAUAGCCCACCCGUUUUUGUGGCCUUUUUCCGCUGGACGAACUUGGCGCCCCGGCCUUCGGGCGGUUAUUUUUGAGCGUGGCUUUGCCUGCGGCCUAUUUUUGGCACACGGAGACCCCUCGCAAAGUCUUGCGCCAUUCCGAGUCCGGCGGACGAAGUUGGCCAGCCCCACCCCCCAAGGCUAUAGCCCACCCGUUUUUGUGGCCUUUUUCCGCUGGACGAACUUGGCGCCCCGGCCUUCGGGCGGUUAUUUUUGGAUGUGGCUUUGCCCGCGGCCUAUUUUUGGCACACGGAGGCCCCUCGCAAAGUCUCGCGGAAUUCCGAGUCCGGCGGACGAAGUUGGCCCGCCCCACCCCCCAAGGCUAUAGCCCACCCGUUUUUGUGGCCUUUUUCCGCUGGACAAACUUGGCGCCCCGGCCUUCAGGCAGUUAUUUUUUGGGCACGCCUUUGCCCGCGGCCUAUUUUUGGCACACGGAGGCGCCUCGCAAAGUCUCGCGGCAUUCCGAGUCCGGCGGACAAAGUUGGCCGGCCCCACCCCCCAAUGCUAUAGCCCACCCGUUUUUGUGGCCUUUUUCCUCUGGACGAAAUUGGCGCCCGGCCUUCUGGCGGUUAUUUUUGACCGCGGCUUUGCCCGCGGCCCAUUUUUAGCACACGGAGGCCCCUCGCAAAGUCUUGCGCCAUUCUGAGUCCGGCGGACGAAGUUGGCCAGCCCCACCCCCCAAGGCUAUAGCCCACCCGUUUUUGUGGCCUUUUUCCGCUGGACGAACUUGGCGCCCCGGCCUUCGGGCAGUUAUUUUUGGGCGCGGCUUUGCCCGCGGCCUAUUUUUGGCACACGGAGGCCCCUCGCAAAGUCUCGCGGCAUUCCGAGUCCGGCGGAAGAAGUUGGCCCGCCCCACCCCCCAAGGCUAUAGCCCACCCGUUUUUGUGGCCUUUUUCCGCUGGACAAACUUGGCGCCCCGGCCUUUGGUCAGUUAUUUUUGGGUACGGCUUUGCCCGCGGCCUAUUUUUGGCACACGGAGGCCCCUCGCAAAGUCUCGUGGCAUUCCGAGUCCGGCGGACGAAGUUGGCCAGCCCCACCCCCCAAGGCUAUAGCCCACCCGUUUUUGUGGCCUUUUUCCGCUGGACGAACUUGGCGCCCCGGCCUUCGGGCAGUUAUUUUUGGGCGCGGCUUUGCCCGCGGCCUAUUUUUGGCACACGGAGGCCCCUCGCAAAGUCUCGCGGCAUUCCGAGUCCGGCGGACGAAGUUGGCCGGCCCCACCCCCCAAUGCUAUAGCCCACCCGUUUUUGUGGCCUUUUUCCGCUGGACGAAGUUGGCGCCCCGGCCUUCCGGAGGUUAUUUUUGAGCGCGGCUUUGCCCGCGGCCCAUUUUUAGCACACGGAGGCCCUUCGUAAAGUCUUGCGCCAUUCCGAGUCCGGCGGACGAAGUUGGCCAGCCCCACCCCCCAAGGCUAUAGCCCACCCGUUUUUGUGGCCUGUUUCCGCUGGACGAACUUGGCGCCCCGGCCUUCGGGCGGUUAUUUUUGGGCGCGCCUUUGACCACGGCCUAUUUUUUGCAUACGGAGGCCCCUCGCAAAGUCUCGCGGCAUUCCGAGUCCGGCGGACGAAGUUGGCCAGCCCCACCCUCCAAGGCUAUAGCCCACCCGUUUUUGUGGCCUUUUUCCGCUGGACGAACUUGGCGCCCCGGCCUUC